AAAAAAUUAGUUAAAUUAUAACAUUAGUUCGUCAUACUAAAAUUAUUAAAAAAUUAAUAUUUUUUA
rnacentral:tRNA from 1 species